rnacentral:miRNA from 1 species
UAAGUAGAUACUUCUAGGCUUU